UUAGAAGCAAGAUAAACGAUGGCUGUGGCAAAUGGAGAUAACUUUCAGGUUCAAAUCAUCUGGAAUAUCAACACAAUGGGCCAGUGUUGGUUCUUCAGUUGCACCAAUAAUCCAUGAAAGUAGGUUAAACAGUUCAAAUGGCACAACAGAUUUUGCUGCCCUAAUAUUUAAAUCAUUAGAUGUGGGUGACCAUGGACAUGUCAUUCAAGGAGAGUUAUCCACAAUUCUCUUUAGUAUCAAUGCCACAUUAUGAAGUGUCCUUGUGUUCUCUGCAGUACCAGCUAUUCUACUUGCUGUUCUUUCACCAAUACUUUGACUAGUUAUGUCUGUUGACUCAGUUGUUUCUGUACCUGAUGGAUGAGGUAUUCUUUCUACCAGAUGAGGUAUUGGUUCUACCAAUCUGCAGAAAGGGUUUUUUCAGAAAUGAAAAACAAUUCAUUGAUGUUGCUCUGGUUAGGAGAGUAAAACACCAGCUGGGGGAAAUCAUGGGACAGCCUCCACUUUAAUUUAUCCUGCCUGUAGAUUGAAGCAUCAAGAUCUUCAUGGCUCUUUACCAUAUUCUUCUUAGCCGUGUCAUAGUUGACACCCCUUGGUUUACAAUCAUUCGAUGGUGGACGACUCUCUCAGAGAAGACCUUGUAGCUUACAUCAUAGGUUGGCUCAUUUUGUUCUUCUGACGCCUGUGUAACUGUUCCAGUAGUCUUUUAUCAAGAACCUGAUGCACCGUCUUCAUCUUUAAUAUGCACAAAAAUGCUAGGGUCUUCCUUUAUCUCAGCUUCUUUAAGCAACUGACCUGUAA
ensembl:processed_transcript